rnacentral:rRNA from 1 species
CGCGAACGUUGGCGGCGUGCCUAACACAUGCAAGUCGUGGGGCAGCAGGCUACUGUCUUUUGGCAGUAGUGCUGGCGACCGGCAAACGGGUGAGUAACACGUAGCUUACCUACCCAUAGGUUGGGGAUAACAUUCCGAAAGGGGUGCUAAUACCCAAUAAUGAGGAGACUCCAAAGCCCUUAUGGGUGCCUAUGGAUGGGGCUGCGUCCCAUCAGCUAGUUGGUGAGGUAAUGGCUCACCAAGGCUACGACGGGUAACCGGUCUGAGAGGAUGACCGGUCACAGUGGGACUGAGACACGGCCCGCACCCCUACGGGGGGCAGCAGUGGGGAAUAUUGGGCAAUGGCCGAAAGGCUGACCCAGCAACGCCGCGUGGUGGAUGAAGCCCUUCGGGGUGUAAACACCUUUUCUGGGGGAAGAUAAUGACGGUACCCCAGGAAUAAGGGACGGCUAACUACGUGCCAGCAGCCGCGGUAAUACGUAG